GACGAACGCUGGCGGCGUGCUUAACACAUGCAAGUCGAGCGGUAAGGCCCUUUCGGGGGUACACGAGCGGCGAACGGGUAAGUAACACGUGGGUGACCUGCCCUCAGCUCUGGGAUAAGCCUGGGAAACUGGGUCUAAUACUGGAUAUGACUCCACGGUGCAUGUCGUGGGGUGGAAAGCCUUGUGCGGCUGAGGAUGGGCCCGCGGCCUAUCAGCUUGUUGGUGGGGUGANGGCCUACCAAGGCGACGACGGGUAGCCGGCCUGAGAGGGCGACCGGCCACACUGGGACUGAGACACGGCCCAGACUCCUACGGGAGGCAGCAGUGGGGAAUCUUGCGCAAUGGGCGAAAGCCUGACGCAGCGACGCCGCGUGAGGGAUGACGGCCU
rnacentral:rRNA from 1 species